CUGAGAGCCAGAACUCAGGCAGGAUGCUGCCCCAAGAAACAGGGCUGUGAAAACCCUGAACCUGAGCACAGAGUCUACCGGCCAGGACUGGAAACAGUCCCCAAAAGGUGGACUGUGAUCCCUACAGCUGAAGGGAACCUUUGGGGAAACUGAGGUAGGGGAUUCCAGCGGCAUGCUAUAGCACAAGGGGGUGUGCUCGAGGAAUGCAAACCCACCUACAUUUAUCUACCUUCCAGGGUGUUCUGAGGAUUAAUUGGGAUUUUUUUUUUUUUUGGAUGACUCAAGGAUGGGAACCGAGAUCGUUUGCAGCCCUCGACUGAAGAGGCUGGGAUGUCGAACCCUUGCAAAGAGGGGUGUUGUCCUUUUCAGAGUGAACACCCUUCAGGGCCAGGACUGUCCCACGCUCAGGGUUUGCACAGCAUCUAGAACAAUGGGGCCCCAUUCCUGUCUGAGGCUUUUAGGUACUAUUGAAACACAAAUAAUAGCAGCCCUAUGCAGAAAAGCAUUUCAGCUCCUGCUUAAAGCUAAGCACAUGCUUAGGAGGGAUGCUUUCCCAAGUCAGGGCUAACAAGGACUCUUUGAGUCAGAAAAGUAUUAACAAAAACAUGAAAAACACCCCAAAACCUCAAACAAAAAGAUUUUAA